GACGGGAAUUCUAAGGGCGUAUGGUGGAUGCCUUGGCUUCAUGGAGGCGAUGAAGGACGCAGCAUGGCGGCGAUACGCUUCGGGGAGGUGCCUAGCAACCUUUGAUCCGAAGAUGUCCGAAUGGGGAAACCCCAUAUGAUGAACUCAUAUGAUCCCGAUGCACAUCGGGAAGCGUACCCUGGGAAGUAAAACAUUUCAGUACCAGGAGGAAAAUAAACAAAUUGCAUUCCGUCAGUAGCGGCGAGCGAACGCGGAGGAGACUAAACCUAUCCUAAAUCGUACGGCAGAACGAAAGUUCUGUGGUGCGAUUUAGGAUAGGGGUUGCGAGGCGGAGACGUGCCAUUUAUGGCAGAAGAGUCACAAAAUCUUGUUUUAGCCGAAUGAGCUGGAAAGCUCGACCCUAGCGGGUGAUAGUCCCGUAGGCGAAAAGACAAGAUCUCUUUUGUUUCCGUUCUCAAGUACCCCGGGACACGAAUAGCUCGGGGGAAUCCGCCGGAACUAACCGGCAAGUCUAAAUACUCCAGAAGACCGAUAGUGAACUAGUACCGUGAGGGAAAGGUGAAAAGCAGCCCGGAAGGGCGGUGAAAUAGAUCUGAAACCAUAUGCCUACAAGGAGUCAGAGCGGCCGCAAGGCCGUCAUGGCGUGCCUAUUGAAGAAUGAGCCAACGAGUUUUAGCAAGCUGCUCGACUAAGGCCGAGAGGCCGGAGUCACAGGGAAACCGAGUCUGAACAGGGCGCUCGUAGUUUGCUAAAGACCCGAAGCCGGAUGAGCUUGCCACGCGCAGGGUGAACACUCCCGAAAGGGAGUGGGAGGCCCGAACCGGUGAGCCGUGCAAAACUCUCGGAUGACGUGUGGUAAGGAGUGAAAAGCUAAUCGAAUUCGGUAAUAGCUGGUUCUCUCCGAAAGAACUUUUGGGUUCGCGUCGCGUGUACCCUUGCGGGGUAGAGCACUGGAAGGUCAUGACAGGGCGAAAGCUCACAUGACCUAUCAAACUCCGAAUACGCAAGGUAAAAUAUGCGGCAGUUAGUCUAUGGGGGCUAAGCUCCAUCGGACGAAAGGGAAACAGCCCAUGAUCUCUAUUUAAGGUCCCUAAAUCGACGUUCAGUGCGCUUAAGGUAGUGAGGUCUCUCAAACAAUGAGGAUGUAGGCUUAGAAGCAGCCAUCAUUUAAAAAUAGCGUAACAGCUUACUCAUCGAGAGAUCACGCGCCGCAGAUAAUCGGGGCUUAAACGUCGUACCGAAACUGAGGGAUCCGAUCGCCUUCGGGCGCGUCGGAUCGGUAGGAGAGUAUUCGCAUCGCGAUGAAGGCAAAGGCGUGAGCCAUGCUGGAGCGUUGCGAAGUAAGAAUGUUGGCACAAGUAACCGCAAUGCGGGUGAGAUACCCGCACGCCGAAAGACCAAGGUUUCCUUGGCAAUGUAUAUCAGCCAAGGGUUAGUCGGUCCUAAGGGGAUGGCGAACGCCGCACCCGAUGGAUUCACGGUUAAUAUUCCGUGACUUUCGCAUAGAUCGAUGGAGUGACGGGGAGCAGUAUGAUGCGCGCCUUAUUGGAUUGGCGCUCGUGGCGUAAGGAUGGCUGUAGGUAAAUCCGCAGCCUCGCUUGAAUGCGAUAUCCAAGCGCAGCGGAUACGCCCGCAAGGGUCAAAGCAUCAAAGCGCUCCCUCGAGAAAAGCUUCUACGAUUAUCUAUGCGGAAACCGUACCGCAAACCGACACAGGUGGUCAGGUCGAGUAGACCUAGGCGAACGAGUGAGAGGUCUCCAAGGAACUCGGCAAAAAAGCAGCCGUAACUUCGGAAUAAGGCUUUCCCGAUGUUACAUCGGGACGCAGCUAAAGUAUCUCUGGCAACUGUUUAACAAAAACACAGCUCCCUGCGAACUCGCAAGAGUAUGUAUAGGGGGUGACACUUGACCAAUGCGAGAAGGUCAAAUAACGGCGUUGUCAUGUCGCAAGAUGUGAUGGUGACUGUUAUAAGCCCUCGUGAAUGUCGGUCGUAACUAUAACGAUCCUAAGGUAGCGCAAUUCCUUGUCAGGUAAGUUCUGACGCGUUGAAUAGUGCAAUGACUGGAGAACUGUCUCGGAGACUUGCUCGGUGAAAAUACAAUACCGGUGAAGAUGCCGGUUACCUGCAGUUAGACGAAAAGACCCUAGAAGCUUUACUGUAACUUGAUAUUGACCAUACGUGAUUCCUGCGUAGCGUAGAUGGGAGGAUUUGAGAUGUCCCUUUCGGGGGGCGUUGAUCCGUCGAUGAAACACCAUUCUUGAAUCUUGUAUGUUCUAACCUCGGCGGCAUAAACGCCGGGAGACAGUAUCUGGUGGACAGUUUUAGUGGGGCGCUAUCCUCCUAAAGAGUAACGGAGGAGCCUAAAGGUCAGCUAGGCGCGAAUGGAAACCGUGCCGAUAGUGUAUGGGCACAAGCUGGCUUGACUGCGAGACGUACAUGUCGAGCAGACGCGAAAGCGGAGCCAAGUGAACCGACCGUAGGCGUUAGACGCUGCGGAAGAUUAUCGGAUAAAAGCUACUCUAGGGAUAACAGGCUAGUUCCGCCUAAGAGUUCAUAUCGACGGCGGAGUUCGGCACCUCGAUGUCGGCUCACCACAUCCUGGGGGUGGAGAAGCUCCCAAAGGUUUGGCUGUUCGC
rnacentral:rRNA from 1 species